UCCGGCUUAACGCCGGCAGUCUCUCUAGAGUGCCCAACUAAAUGAUGGCAACUAGGGACAAGGGUUGCGCUCGUUGCGGGACUUAACCCAACAUCUCACGACACGAGCUGACGACAGCCAUGCAGCACCUGUGUCCAGGUUCCCUUUCGGGCACCCUCACAUCUCUGCGAGGUUCCUGGCAUGUCAAGGGUAGGUAAGGUUCUUCGCGUUGCAUCGAAUUAAUCCACAUAAUCCACCGCUUGUGCGGGUCCCCGUCAAUUCCUUUGAGUUUUAAUCUUGCGACCGUACUCCCCAGGCGGUCGACUUCACGCGUUAGCUACGUUACUGAGGGACAGACUCCCCCAACAACUAGUCGACAUCGUUUAGGGCGUGGACUAC
rnacentral:misc_RNA from 1 species